GCGCACAAGUUUAAAAUAGUUGUCCGCAUAAGUUUAAAAGUUGUGCGACCAAAUUUAAAGUUGUGCGCACAAGAUUUAAAGUCGUGCGCACAAAUAAUUUAAAUUUCAUCUUUGGCACUUAAGGGGCUCCGUAGGUAAUGCUAUUCUUGCAUGGUUUAACCAUUUUAAUUUUUAAAUUAUUUUUUUUAAUUUUUUUUUAUGUUUUUUUAUUUUAUUAUUAUUUUUUUUUUGGGGGGGGGGUUCCCAAUUCUAUGAAUUAUACAGCUACUCUAUCAAAUGUAUUUACAGCGAUUUUGGUUCAUCUUUAGUUGUGUAUGUUAUCCAGAACGUCGAAUAUACAGCAGCUAUAUUUGACUUCGACCACUAAUGUAUAUUAGUGACAGAACGAAUAAACAGUACAGUACUAAAAGCGUAUAUGAGUCACAAGAUUCUCUAUUUUUUUAAUAAGAUUUUCAUUGAUUUUGGCACAGUACCAAAUUUAUUCGAGUAGACGUGUAACAAUUUGAUUUGAGUUUACUUCAAGACUAAGUCUUACGUAAUAUACAAAAGGUUCAUUUACUAUUCAGAGUUCGUAGCUCCAAGAAGUCAACAUCAUUUUAGAGAUAAAACUAUAUAGACGACGAUAAAAUGGUAUCAUUUUCAUGUUUUUCGGACAUGUGCCAACAAGGUUUGCAAUUUUGCGAGGGUCAGUCUCUGAGGUGUAGAAGUUGUCUGGACUUUACAGAGGAUUGUUUUAAAAACAACAGACACAUUUCAAACUGUUCCGAGUAUUGUUUGGACUGGUUGAAGAAAAAUAUUUCAGAAACUGACAGAACAAUACAGAACUGCUCGGCUUCAGAUGGGUUCACAUUGCAAGAAGAGCACCAUUUUCUGAUUGAAACGAUUUUAAUAUGCAUAAUAGUGACUGGCCUAGCAUUUUGUCUUCUCUGCAAGUUCCAAUUGUUGCCUGACUUUAUUCAGAAGAUAUAUGCCAUUCAAAAUGAAAAAGGAAAAGUAAUUCCUGUUGUGGAUGAAAACCUUGAGAUGAAUAUGAAACAACCGUUAAUGUGUGAUCAAAAAGAACAAGAAGCAAAUAAUCAUGAAGACAAGUUAAAGGAGAUACGUGUUGAUGGUAAAUGUGGAUUUGAUCACCAUAAUCAGAUAUCCAAUGCAACGAGAGACGACCCUUCGUUGUGUUUAAGUGGAUGUAGAGUUGAUCCUACAACAACAUAAAAUGUCAUGAUACAGGUAUACAGCUUUGUGGUGAAAUGGAACUUUCACCAGUCAAUGAAAUGUAAAUAAACGAGCUCAUAAAGGAAUAUCACAAUCAGUAAGGGUAAAUUUUGCAUGGCUGAAUGUAAUUCAAUAAUGCAGAGUAUAUAUGAAAUUCCCCUUUGUGCCUGUAUUUGCGAUUUAUACAUACGAUAAGUGUUAACAUCCAUAAAACAGCUUUUAAUGGGAGAAACGAUAAAUGCUUUCUUGUUUAAAAAUGUGAUAUGCCGCAUACGGGAGUUUAAUUUAUUAAUUGAUUAAUCAUUAUUGUUUAACUCGGCAAUUAAACUGGGGUGAUAUUUGCUGUUCGAAACAUAAUCUUAAGACCUGCGUAUACUUAUUUCCCUUUAUACUACGAAAUGGUCCUUUUUACUUAAUGUUCAAAGGCAACUAUUUAAUGCAUAUUGAGGACGCGGUCAAAUUGAACAAUAAAUCAUUCGUAAAAUACAUGUAAGCAGAUUUUGCAAAAUGGUUUGAGCGGGAUAGAAGGCGCGGCAUUUGGACCAUAAUUAGGGAAAAAAAUGUAUGUUGCAAUAAGUUUCUCAUGGAACUCAAGAAUAGUUGUUGCAAUGCUGUCUAAUUUCAAUAGGGCAUGAUAUUUUCCCAACACGAGGUUUCAAGGUUAACCUCCACUUCCUAUAGGACAUGGUUGUAUACUCGUAUAUUCAACAGUACAAAAAGGACGGGUCCUCAACACGAGUCUUACUGAGAUGGAAGAAGUCUAGCAUAUUUUGCGUGCCCAGUCAACCACAGGGGUGAAUAAAUGGAUAAAAUAAUAUACAACCCUUAAUGAAUAAAUAAAUACAACGACAAAGAAACGUUGUGAGAUGCGAUACAAUGCAAGCCUAUGCUUAUAUAAGCUUGUAUAUGAAUUAUAGGGAAAAAUGUGCAAAAACUUGUUCAUGAGUGAAUAUGAGCACACACUUAAUUUUCACAUAAGACAUACAAUACGCUGCUUAUGUAUACAUGUAAAAGUGAGGAGAUAUGAUGGGAUUGUCAAUGAGACAACCAGUGGCGGAUCCAGAAAUUUUCAUAAGUGGGGACCCACUGACUGCCUAAGCGGGGGCCCGCUCCAGUCAUGCUUCAGUGAUUCCAUACAUACUCAACCAAAUUUUUCCCACAAAAGGGGGGCCCAGGCCCCCUGCCCCCCUAAAUCCGCCUCUGACAACAGGACAUGGAUGUUUACAUGUACAAAAAAAGUCAUGUACUUCCUUUAGUGAGCGUAAUUCUGACAAAAUAGGAACAAUACUAUGAACACAAAGUAAUUAGAGUUCGGGAGUUCCCUGUUUGAAAAACAAAUAUGCCAUAUCAGUUGGUACAGAGCAAUGGGAGGGGAGGGAGACCUAAACACAUAGACGAUGAAUAAAUCAUAGACAUUUUCCACUAAUAAAAGUGUUAUUCUAUCGGAUCAUACAUGUAUCUAGUACAUCUUUUUUUCAUGAUCAUAUUGACUAAUUUUUCAAGUCUCUCUCAAUUCCUGGUGAAAGUUCCAUUUUAAAGCUGUAUGCUUGGAUGUGCAGACUUUCUGUGAUUAAACUACUAACAGUAACUCAACUUUAAAGUGCUGAUUUAAUUCUUGUAUAAAUAUAAAACCACACAUAUCAUGAUUUGCUAACUUUGUAUUGUUUGAAUUCUGACAUUGUGAUAGAUGUAGACGUUAAAUACCAUCAUUCAUUAAUCACUCACCAUUUCAUAACAUUUUAUACUGUCUUGUAGAUAUUUUGCAUGAUUUAUUUAAAAUGAAAUGAUUUAUGCACUUUCUAGAAAAUAUGACAGUGUGAUAGACGUUAGAUAUGUUCCUUCGUUUAUCACUCGCUAUUAAUAACAUAGCAUGCAUGUAGAUAUUUUGUAUGCCUUAUCAUUUGUACUAUCACAAAUCCAAAAUAAAAUUAUUAAUGCACUUUCUGGAAAAUAUAAAUAUCAUAAUUUUAUUAUAUUAACAUAAUUUAACAAUAAAAUUUAUGUUUAACACAACUGUCUGCGAAACAUCAAGUGACGAAAGUUUCAUGCAUAUUGAACAGAUCAUAACUGUUCCAAGGAAAAACGGCCUAGCAUCUGUUGAAAUGGGAAAUAUUGUCGGUAAAAAAAUCUUCCUGCCCCCUUCCCUUUCCCCAGAGAGUCAAAUAGUCGUUUCCUUACCACACGUGUCUAUUGUAGAAAUUGUCACACUUAAAUACCCAUUUACAUUUAUGGAAAUCCUUGAUUUAUUCAUAUUUAUUAUUUAUUUCAAUUUUGGUUUGUGAAAUUAUUUUAGAUCUGUAUACAUUUUACCUUCAAUAUGUUCACUUGAGGAAAGGCUUUGGACCGCGUGAAAAAGUUCAUGAAUAUGUAUAUGACACAAAACAUUUACAGUACACUUUAGGAGUUGUAAGUGAUUGAUAAUGCAGAGGCGUGCAUGGACAUAUUCUUGUCGCAUGCAAUCACUUACAACUCCUAAAGUGUACUGUAGAUAUAACAAAAGACAUGGCCACAAAAUGGUUGAAAACUUUGUCAAGCCCAUUGUAUUAAGUCGUACUUAAUAACAUGCAUGAUUUAUCUCACAGAAACACGAACAGAAAUCAUAUCAUGCGGUUUUUGAUAACUCUAUGUCAUGUUUUAUUUUAGAUAUCAUUAUACAAAACACUAGAAAAAUAUUCUGCGACAAUUUGGUAAAAACAAUUUAGUACAGAACUUUUUUUAUUUUAUACAAAAUAAAUUUACGUGGAAAUAUAACGUAA